rnacentral:rRNA from 1 species
AUGAUAUGCAGAUUUUGGUGGGCUAAGCAGGAGAAGAGCAAUACUAUGCACUGGUUAAGCUGGGAGUUACUGACUAAACCGAAGAAGGAGGGUGGCAUGGGGUUCAGAGACAUAUACGGCUUUAACAUCGCUAUGCUGUCAAGGCAAGCUUGGCGUAUGCUAACCGCACCAGAGUCCCUCUGCGCCCGGGUCUUGAAGGCUAGAUACUUCCCCAGAACGUCGAUUCUAGAGGCUGUGGCUUAUCCAGGCAUAUCAUACACAUGGAGAAGUAUUCUGGAAGGGGUGGCGCUAUUGAAGGAGGGACUAAUUUAUAGAGUGGGGGAUGGCACUUCAAUCAGAAUUUGGGCUGACCCGUGGUUGAACAGAGAAGGAAUGAGGACUCCAACUACUCCCAGGGGUGGCUGCUUACUCACCCGAGUCUGUGAACUUGUUGACCCGGACACACAAAGCUGGGAUGGAACCCCAGUGAAUGACAUCUUCAGCCCUGAGGAAGCUAGCAUUAUACUGGCUACCCCGGUUAGAGAAGAAUGGGAGGAUUUCUACGCCUGGUACCAUGACAGCAAGGGAGUUUUUUCAGUUAACCGGCCUACCAAAUUUAUAUUAAGGGUAGGGACGCAGAACAGCCAGGGACAUCAAAUGCUUUGCCAAACCGAUGGGAGUGGGCUGACAUAUAGAAGCUGCCCUGUCAACCAAAGAUCCAACAAUUCAUAUGGCGCCUAG